rnacentral:rRNA from 1 species
UUCGUAGGCGGGGUAUUAAGUCAGUGGUGAAAUCCUACAGCUUAACUGUAGAACUGCCAUUGAUACUGAUAUUCUUGAAUUCACCUGAAGUAGGCGGAACAUGACAUGUAGCGGUGAAAUGCUUAGAUAUGUCAUAGAACACCGAUUGCGAAGGCAGCUUACUAAAGUGAUAUUGACGCUAAGGAACGAAAGCGUGGGGAGCGAACAGGAUUAGAUACCCUGGUAGUCC